ensembl:lncRNA CSN1S2AP casein alpha s2 like A, pseudogene
AUUUUCCACUGUGUAGUCCACUGGUCUUCUAUUUGGGAAACAAGGACCAAACAACCAUGAAGUUCUUCAUCUUUACCUGCCUUUUGGCUGUUGCUCUGGCACAUCAUGAGAUAAAGCACUCCUCCUCUUCCAGUGAGUAAUCUGCCAGCAUCUACCAAGAAGAAACUGCAAAUAAAAUAGAUACGAUGCAAUCUUCUAGCAGUUUAUCCAGUGGGGAAUCUGCUCAAGUAUCCACUGAAAACAAUGAACUGACUAAGGAAGGAAGGAUCUACUUAAAGCACAUGGAAUCUACCAGCAUCUCCCAAGAAGAAUCUGCUGAAGUAUUCCCUGAGACGAAAACCAACCAGUUUCUCCAGAAGUUCACUGUCCCCCAGUAUGUCCAGGCUGUUCCCCUUGUAGUCUAUGAGCCUGUGGAAUCACAUUCAGGAAAACACCUACCCAUAUAUUCCCAUUUAGAAGAACAUGUAAGAUUCUUGAAUUAACUGCUGCAAUUUGAGCUUGAGUAUGACUAGAAAAAUCAUUCCUUUAUAAUUUCUUCAUCUACCACAUCACCUCCUACUAGCAAUAUAUUUUGGCAUGCUUCUUGAAAUGUCAACAGUAUUGAGCCAAAAGAAGACUGUGUGGAACAUUUUCCAUAUUGGUUAUGAUAUUUUUAAUUUGUGUUGGAUAUGCCAGAUCUGAAUUGUGGUAUCAUAUUUACUGUAUUGAUGAUUAAAUGAGGUCUUUUCUCCACUAUCUCUGAAAUAUAGAACUGUAUAUCAGUUGCCAAAACAUUAAAA